rnacentral:lncRNA from 1 species
UGGGUUGAGAAAGUUCAUCCUGUGGCUCUGACUAGAGAAGAUAGAGUCCUUAUUAACCUUUAGAUUAGAAAAAUUAAAUAUAUUUGUUUCCUAGAAUCUAGGUGAUUGCCCAAUAAAUAGGAGGAGAACAAGUUAAAGUUAAAAAAAGAAAAGCAGAUAAAUAGCAGAGCAAGAGGCAGGAUGCAUCAUGCCUCGGUCACUACAUGUUUGCAGGGUUUUGUUAAAGACAAUGGUAUGACGUUGAAACUUGGAUUGCCUUGAGUACACCCUCACAGCGCUGCUCGUGGGGCAAGCAUGCCUGGGAGAUGACCUGGGGCACCACGCCCUGCCUAUCUCAGACAAGGAACUCCAGGCAGCAGUGGCGAAGCUAAGCAGCUCCAUCCUUAAGGGGCGGAGGCCGGCUCAUAUUUGCCUAUUAGGGCCGUGGGACGCCGAGGUUCUGCUGGGUCCCUCCUGGAAAUAGAUCCUUCCCAGCCAGCACCCGAAGUCAGCAGCAGAGGGCAAAGCACCUGGGCUUUAUUUAGCUCCAAGCUCCACGAUCCUCCUGCAUAUUGUUCCUGGAAGAGGCAAAAGCCUAGGGCUUCAAGAUGCCGGGGCUUUAAGAAACCAAGGCAUGACCUCAAGUGAUUUGCCGGAGGUGGCCUCGGUGGCAGCAGUCAUUGAAGAAAGGAAGACAGCUGCCCAGCCAGUCUGACAGACCAUACACAGACAGCCCUGUUCACAGGGAGGCGUGGGCAAAGAUUUCAUGACGAAACAUCAAAAGCAAUUG